GAACUGAUUUGCUACUGAGGUUAAAUAUGCUGAGAAUUUUCUGUAAAGGACUCAAAUGGUGUGCUUGCCGCAGAUAUGAAAUUGAAUUCAUUUGCUACUCAUGCUAGCUAUGCCAAGAACUUAAAGCUCCUUUACCAAUCAGAAGAGAAAGUACUGAAGGACCAAAUUCUAUUGGUCAAUAUUUGCUGGAACUUCAUUGAGGCUGAAGUGCUCAAUGUCUAGUUUUCACAUUUGCUUGAGGAGAAAAAAAAAAAAAGAAGCUAUUUUAAUGACAAGUCAUUGUUACAUUGAUUUUGGAUGACGCCACCACAAAAAUUGGUCAUUGGACUCAAAGGAAUCAAUUUUGCUAGUCAUGCUGACAAGGCUAGUAUGAAGAAAUUCUGUGGAAAUGUUACCUG